CCUACGGGUGGCAGCAGUAGGGAAUAUUGCUCAAUGGGGGAAACCCUGAAGCAGCAACGCCGCGUGGAGGAUGAAGGUUUUCGGAUUGUAAACUCCUUUUGUUAGAGAAGAUAAUGACGGUAUCUAACGAAUAAGCACCGGCUAACUACGUUCCAGCAGCCGCGGUAAUACGGAGGGUGCAGGCGUUACUCGGAUUUACUGGGAGUAAAGAGCGCGUAGGCGGGAUAGCAAGUCAGCUGUGAAAUCCUAUGGCUUAACCAUAGAACUGCAUUUGAAACUGUUAUUCUAGAGUAUGGGAGAGGUAUGUGGAAUUCUUGGUGUAGGGGUGAAAUCCGUAGAGAUCAAGAAGAAUACUGAUUGCGAAGGCGACCUGCUAGAACAUAACUGACGCUGAUGCGCGAAAGCGUGGGGAGCAAACAGGAUUAGAUACCCGGGUAGUC
rnacentral:rRNA from 1 species